rnacentral:rRNA from 1 species
AUUGAACGCUGGCGGCAGGCCUAACACAUGCAAGUCGAGCGAGCGGCGGACGGUUGAGUAAUGUAUGGGGACUGCCCGAUAGAGGGGGAUAACUACUGGAAAAGGUAGCUAAUACCGCAUACUAUCGGAUAACCCAUAUGGGAUUAGCUAGUAGGUGAGGUAAUGGGUCACCUAGGCGACGAUCCGUAGCCGGUCUGAGAGGAUGAUCAGCCACACUGGGACUGAGACACGGCCCAGACUCCUACGGAGGCAGCAGUGGGGAAUAUUGCACAAUGGGCGCAAGCCUGAUGGAGCCAUGCCGCGUGUAUGAAGAAGGCCCUAGGGUUGUAAAGAACUGUCAGUCGGGAGGCGUUACCGACAGAAAAAGCACCGGCUAACUCCGUGCCAGCAGCCGCGGUAAUAC